rnacentral:rRNA from 1 species
GCAAACUGCUCAGUAACACAUGAUCAACUUACCCUAUAGAGAAAAAUAACCUCGGGAAACUGAGGAUAAUGUUUCAUAAUUGAAUUGGCUUGGAAAAGUUUUUCAAUGAAAGGGAUAAAAAAAAUGGUUUUUAUCCGCUAUAGGAUAGGAUCGUGUUCGAUUAUGGUUGUUGGUGAGAUAAUGGCUCACCAAGCCGAUAAUCGAUAGGGGCCGUGAGAGCGGGAGCCCCGAGAUGGGUACUGAGACAACGACCCAGGCCUUACGAGGCGCAGCAGGCGCGGAACCUCCGCAAUACACGAAAGUGUGACGGGGUUACCCAAAGUGUUCAAUAGAACUGUGGUAGGUGAGUAAUGUCCCCUACUAGAAAGGAGAGGGCAAGGCUGGUGCCAGCCGCCGCGGUAAAACCAGCUCUUCAAGUGGUCGGGAUAAUUAUUGGGCUUAAAGUGUCCGUAGCCGGUUUAGUAAGUUCCUGGUAAAAUCGGGUAGCUUAACUAUCUGCAUGCUAGGAAUACUGCUAUACUAGAGGGCGGGAGAGGCCUGAGGUACUACAGGGGUAGGGGUGAAAUCUUAUAAUCCUUGUAGGACCACCAGUGGCGAAGGCGUCAGACUGGAACGCGCCUGACGGUGAGGGACGAAAGCCAGGGGAGCGAACCGGAUUAGAUACCCGGGUAGUCCUGGCCGUAAACGAUGCAUACUAGGUGAUGGUACGGCCAUGAGCCGUAUCAGUGCCGUAGGGAAACCGUUAAGUGUGCCGCCUGGGAAGUACGGUCGCAAGGCUAAAACUUAA